GUCGUAACAAGGUUUCCGUAGGUGAACCUGCGGAAGGAUCAUUAGAGAGACUUUGCCCUUUGGGUAUAUCUCCCACCCUGAUUAUUUUACCUGGUUGCUUUGGCAAGCAAUGCCAUGUUGCAGAGCUUGCCAGAGUGUAUACAUACUCUUGUUUCAUGUAGUCUGAGAAAUAUAUAAAUAUUUAAAACUUUCAACAACGGAUCUCUUGGUUCUGGCAUCGAUGAAGAACGCAGCGAAAUGCGAUACGUAAUGUGAAUUGCAAUUUUUAGUGAACCAUCGAAUCUUUGAACGCACAUUGCGCCCUCUGGUAUUCCGGAGGGCAUGCCUGUUCGAGCGUCAUUACAACCCUCAAGCUCUGCUUGGUAUUGGACCUGACCAUAUCAUAGUAGUCAGUCUCAAAGAUAUUGGCGGUGCCCAGCGUAGCCUUGGAGCGUAGUAAUCUCGAUACCGCUCUCAAGAUGCCUGAACACUUGCCUUGUGCAUUUUAUUGGUUGACCUCGGAUCAGGUAGGGAUACCCGCUGAACUUAAGCAUAUCAAUAAGCGGAGGAAAAGAAACCAACAGGGAUUGCCUCAGUAACGGCGAGUGAAGCGGCAAAAGCUCAAAUUUGAAAUCUGGCCGUCAUUGGUCCGAGCUGUAAUUUGCAGAGGAUGCUCCGAGUUUGACCUUGGCCUAAGUUCCUUGGAAUAGGACGUCAUAGAGGGUGAGAAUCCCGUAUGUGGCCAAGGUUUCCGCUCAUGUGGAGCUCCUUCAACGAGUCGAGUUGUUUGGGAAUGCAGCUCAAAAUGGGUGGUAAAUUUCAUCUAAAGCUAAAUACUGGCCAGAGACCGAUAGCGCACAAGUAGAGUGAUCGAAAGAUGAAAAGCACUUUGGAAAGAGAGUUAAACAGUACGUGAAAUUGUUGAAAGGGAAGCGCUUGUAAUCAGACUUGCGCGUGAUUAAUCAUCUGGCGUUUUCGCCAGUGCACUUGAUCACGCUCAGGCCAGCAUCGGUUUCAGUGGUCAGACAAAGUCUUUGGGAACGUAGCUCCUCUCGGGGAGUGUUAUAGACCAGAGAGUAAUGUGGCCUACUGGGACCGAGGACCGCGCUUCGGCUAGGAUGCUGGCAUAAUGGUUAUAAGCGACC
rnacentral:rRNA from 1 species